GUUCUCUUAUUGGCCUAUACUCAUUCGUUGGGUUUGGUGCUAAAACCAGAAAUUGUUCUUCUUAAACAAUUGGAUUAUAUUCAAAUAUACAUACCUUAUAGUAACAUAAAAAGAGAAGGCUUUAUUGAGCAGUGAAAAGAUGAAGACUACUGCAGAAGACUCCAAAUUAUUAUUUAGCACCUCUUUGCUUUUAGUGAUCUCAUCUCAGUGUGUGGCAGAAACACCAAGAGCUCAAUGUGGUGGAGGCAUUAUAAUAAAUCCAGGAUUUGAUCACAGCAUAGAUGGACUUACGAAAGGAAUGCUAUGCAGCUUUACUGCUUGGUUUCAGCUCAGUGAAAGAAGGACAGUGUGUCAGUUACAUUUAAAACGAAUGCAACUGAGCUGAUUUGAGGAGGUCACGCGAUAGCAAAGCAUGGAUCCUGGACUCUGCUAAAAGGUGGCAUAAUUGCCAACCACUUAAGCCCUGCUGAGAUUCUUUUUGAGGUGAAGUGAAAUACUUUCUAGACUUAAUACCUGCAUGUUUCUCAGUUUUAAGAACAUGAAAAAAAUAG